rnacentral:rRNA from 1 species
UCGGGAAUUUUGGGCAAUGGGCGAAAGCCUGACCCAGCAACGCCGCGUGAGGGAUGAAGUAUUUCGGUAUGUAAACCUCGAAAGAAUGGGAAGAAUAAAUGACGGUACCAUUUAUAAGCUCCGGCUAACUACGUGCCAGCAGCCGCGGUAAUACGUAGGGAGCAAGCGUUGUUCGGAUUUACUGGGCGUAAAGCGUACGUAGGCGGAUGAUUAAGUCAGGGGUGAAAUCCCGGGGCUCAACCUCGGAACUGCCUUUGAUACUGGUCGUCUUGAGUCCGGGAGAGGUGAGUGGAACUCCUAGUGUAGAGGUGAAAUUCGUAGAUAUUAUGAAGAACACCAGUGGCGAAGGCGGCUCACUGGCCCGGAACUGACGCUGAGGUACGAAAGCGUGGGGAGCAAACA